GACGAACGCUGGCGGCGUGCUUAACACAUGCAAGUCGAACGGAAAGGCCCUGCUUUUGUGGGGUGCUCGAGUGGCGAACGGGUGAGUGACACGUGAGUAACCUGCCCUUGACUUUGGGAUAACUUCAGGAAACUGGGGCUAAUACCGGAUAGGAGCUCCUGCUGCAUGGUGGGGGUUGGAAAGUUUCGGCGGUUGGGGAUGGACUCGCGGCUUAUCAGCUUGUUGGUGGGGUAGUGGCUUACCAAGGCUUUGACGGGUAGCCGGCCUGAGAGGGUGACCGGCCACAUUGGGACUGAGAUACGGCCCAGACUCCUACGGGAGGCAGCAGUGGGGAAUAUUGCACAAUGGGCGGAAGCCUGAUGCAGCAACGCCGCGUGCGGGAUGACGGCCUUCGGGUUGUAGACCGCUUUCGCCUGUGACGAAGCGUGAGUGACGGUAAUGGGUAAAGAAGCACCGGCUAACUACGUG
rnacentral:rRNA from 1 species